rnacentral:misc_RNA from 1 species
AAAGUCGUAACAAGGUUUCCGUAGGUGAACCUGCGGAAGGAUCAUUACCCUUCUAUCAGGGGAUGGGCGCCAGCCUUCGGGGCUCUUGCUUCGCUUGGCUGCGUCUGUCUCUUCUGAUUCUACCCAUGUCUUUUGCGCACCCUUUGUUUCCUUGGUGGGCUUGCCUGCCUGUAGGACACACCCAAACCACUUGUAAUUGCAGUCAGCGUCAGUACACAAUGUAAUUAUUACAACUUUCAACAACGGAUCUCUUGGUUCUG